GAGCGAGCGAGCGGCGCGGGCCAGGCCUCCUUGGGCCCGGGGCGGACCAUCAUCCCGGCCGCGCGUCCGCGGGGGGGAGAGAGCGGGCUCACAAAGUUCCGGGAAAGUUGUGCUCGCCGUUCCCGCGCUCCGCCACGGGCAGAGCUUCACUGAGCAGAGCGUGGCUCGUCUUCCGGGACCGACCCCAAGGAAUCCAGUGCAGUGAAGGCUCUGAAGAUCAGCGGAUCUGCCUUUUAGGUGGAAAACAAGGCACUGAGAGAGAUCAGUGACUUUUGACACACCCUUGCGACUCGGGUUUUGUUUCCUGUGUGAUCUGGUCCCGCUCCUAUCAGUCACACCUUGCCAAGCUCUCCCGGUUCAAGCUCACAUCUUAUCUUUUUGCAAAUCUGACAUCACGGUGGCUUUUCUAUUAAUAACCCUCUCCUGGCAUUCUUGCGGGCUCACUGAAACUAUCAGAGAGAGAUUCGCUACUAUGUUCACUACUUUUUUCAAAAGACUUUCUAAUGCCAACUAUAUUAUUGGAUCUUGGAGGACUGGGAUUUCACCUGAAAGCAGAAAAUAUAGACCUUUUCCUCAAAUUGAAGUACCUGAGCAGUGAGCAUCUGAUGCCAAAUCGUUACACAAAAUGGUAAAAUGCAAUUCAUAUUCUCAUGAAAAGGCUAGCCACAUUAAUAAACACAGAAGAAACCUGGAUCCUCAAGGAUCAGACUAUGUCAGAACAUCUACCCGGCAACUACUAUGGCAUAGAAAUGUCAGGAGUCAGAUUUCUGAUGGGAGAAGCAGAAGCAGUGAUGGGAUCAAUGAAGCCGACACUGAGCAAGCCAAGAUGUUUCAAAAGCAUUAGGAAACAGGGAAUGUAUCUCUUACACAAUCAGUACAUCAAGAACUGUCAGUUAGCCUACAGCUUGACUUGGUACAGGGCCAAACUCGGGCUACCCUGGACUGUAACUGUUCUUUUCUUUUUUAAACACACUUUUUUUUUUUUUUUUGAAAUUCAAAGCCUUGGUGCUUCUCUGUCCACAAAAAGGCUACACUUACAAAAUAGGAGAGUUCCAGUGUGUGGGAGUACUAAAACAAGAUGAUAACAUAGUUAGCUAGAACUAUGAUGGCAACAUUAAAGCUUUGCUAUGGUCAGUAGAGUAGGAAUGGACCCAAUGGUAUUGCCCUGCAUUUAUAAUCAUUACCAUCCCUACUAUGCACCAAAUAACUGUUUUUUUUCCUAAUUCAGAAUAUUAAAAAUUUAGUUCCCACACUUGUCAGAAAACCACUUCUAUGUCAGUGAAACAAAAUGGGGACCUAGCAAUACCAUCAUUAAGAAUUAUAAUUAAAACCCAGGUCAUAAUAAUUCACAUCGACUUAACAUAGAAUUAUUUCAGUACUAUUUUUACAUCCUACUAAAAGUAAUAAUUAUAAUUACCUAAUUAUAGCCCCAAAUACUCCAUACCUGGAAUGAAGCAGCUUCUGGGGCUUCUGGAUCACUUUCACUCAACUGAUUGAGUGAAUGCCAAGGGUAUUAUGAUAUCUACCUACACGUGUGAGAACCCAACGAAGGAGUUUAGGAACAGGUGAUCAGAAUCUCCAGGGAAGAAUGUUAUAUUGUGAAGGCAAACAUUCUAAUUCUCCUUUCUAACACAGGUUUCUGCCUGACUCUUUGGGGUUGUAGUAGAGAGCGUCUACCACAGGACUGUGUUCACAGCCAUAGUGUGCUCCCAACCUCUACAUCCUUGAGACCCUUUUUCCUGAUCUCGUUCCAUUUCUUCUCCUCUCAGCCCUAUAAUAAGUUUUUACACAUUACUCUGACUUAUUUAUUAAUAAAACAUUCUUAUUAUUCUUAAAA